UUACCUGGUUCUGGCCAAUGAGGUAUAAGGAGGAAGACUAUUAGGCACUGCUUCAGAAGUUUUCCCAUUCUCUAGGUGGAGAUUUCUCUUACGCCUCUGGAGCCACUGGAAGCAUCUAGCCUGAGGAUGGUAACUGAGGCUGCCGACAGCACCAAGGAUAGCAGAGCAGAAAGUGGACAGUAGUUUCCAGAAUGAAUGAAACACUGCGUGAAGUGCUGGGGCUCUUCACUAGAAGAAGAGAAAGUGGAGAAGCUUUGGGAACAGAAGCUACAAAGGCUGGUGGGGAACCAGAGACAUCCACAGGAUGUGUGAGGCGCGAAGAUCUCCCUUGAAGCAGGGGCUGCGUGAUUAUCUUUGGAGGUGAGAGUUUAAGGCUGCGGGAUGGGGUGCGGGGGUUACAGGACAGCAGGCUAGAUGCUCUGGUUAUUCUGAAGCUUUCAAGGGGUGACAAAAGUGACC